AAUGCCAUCUGAGGCUCAGUCUCAGGAGCCUCGGGACAGAGGACCGGCCCCUCCAGUCACUCGGGCCGGACGCAGCGCUCAGCUGGCCAAAGCCGCUGCCACUAGCCCCGCCCCCGAGAAGAGGCCUCGUGGUCGACCUCGCAAAGAUGGCAGCGGCGGCCGCUCUGCACCUCCUGUCCCUCCUACUCCACCUCCACCUCCACCUCCACCUCCCAAAUCAAGGAAGAAGGGGCGGAGCCGAGGCCGAGCCCAGGUAGAGGACGAAGAGAGCAUGGACGCCACGGAGAAGAAAACCCCCCAGAAGACAGAGCUGAAGGAGAAGACGCCAGGACGCCGUCGGUCCACCUCCAGGAGAAAAUCCAACACAAACCCUGACCCUGAACCAAGCCAGAACCGCCUCAGUCCAGAACCGGACCCUGACCCUGACCCCCCUCAUCGUGACCCCACAGUGGCAGAGUCCAGCCCAGAACCACCUCCCAGUGCAGAGGAGGAGGACAGGACCAGCUCAGCUCCUGCUGCCCCCAUCCCAACCUCCAGUCCUGGGAGGGGACCUCAGGUUAGUCCCCGUCCCCCUUCCCCAGACCUGAGCCCGGUCCACAGCCCAGCCUCCAGCCCCAGCGCCCCUCCUGAUCCUGUGGAAGGGGACCAGCCAAGCCCCAUCCACAGCCCCAUCCAUGGCCCGAUCCACAGCCCCGCCCCCAUGGAGGUGGACUGCAAUCCCAGCACAGCUCCCAUGGAGACAGAGGGGGGCGGGGCCAGUCCCUUGGAGCAGAUCCUGGUCCUGAGUCCCUGCUCCAGUCCUCCGGUGUCCCCCUGCCCCCGACUGGAUGACGAGGACUCGCUGUCCCCCCUGUCGGAGGACUCCGGGGCCUCGCCCACGCCGAGCCUGGGACACACCAAAAAACGUCUGAAGCAGUGUGCCUUCUGUUACCGUGGCGACGAUCCUCCUCUGGGUCAGGGCCGCCUGGUGGUGUUCGGCCCGACGCCGGGCUACAUCCCGCUCCACAUCCUCAACCGCCGCGCCUCCUCUGACCGAGACAGUGACUGCCACGACCACUGCUACCGUGGUGACCAGGCCCUGCUCACGUGAGUGACCUCACUUCCUGUUCAACCUCUAUCAAAAUAAAAGUUUAACCUCUGGUAGCUCACAUUUCCAUAAGAAAUGAGUGAACUCAGCUGUUUGAUUGUUUCAAUGAAUCAAGACAGUAACACUAAAUCUGUGUGUGUGUGUGUGUGUGUGUGUGUGUGUGUGUGUGUGUGUGUGUGUGUGUAGGUGCAGCAGUCCAGAGCAGUGUGGUGAGUACUUACACCGUCUGAUCUUUGUGAAUGAUUAGAUUUAGAUUCAGUGCUGAUUAACUUACAGAUGGUUUAAUAAUCAUGUUGGUGCUGUCAGACAGUCUGAUCCGUGUUAUUGAUCACCGUGUCCCCUGAUGUUUCAGAGGAGUCCUCCUCACAGUUUGUGGAGCAGCUCGGACCCGUCGGCCUUCCACACGACAUCAACGUCCAGUCACUGUUUGACUUCACAGGUACAGGAAGAUAAUGUCCUCCUCCUGUCCUCCUGUCCUCCUCCUGUCCUCCUCCUGUCCUCUUCCUGUCCUCCUCCUGUCCUCUUCCUGUCCUCUUCCUGUCCUCUUCCUGUCCUCCUCCUGUCCUCCUCCUGUCCUCCUCCUGUCCUCUUCCUGUCCUCCUCCUGUCCUCCUCCUGUCCUCCUCCUGUCCUCCUCCUGUCCUCUUCCUGUCCUCCUCCUGUCCUCCUCCUGUCCUCUUCCUGUCCUCUUCCUGUCCUCUUCCUGUCCUCCUCCUGUCCUCCUCCUGUCCUCCUCCUGUCCCUCCUCCUGUCCUCUUCCUGUCCUCCUCCUGCCCUCCCCUGUCCUCCUCCUGUCCUCCUCCUGUCCUCCUCCUGUCCUCCUCCUGUCCUCCUCCUGUCCUCUUCCUGUCCUCCUCCUGUCCUCCUCCUGUCCUCCUCCUGUCCUCUUCCUGUCCUCCUCCUGUCCUCUUCCUGUCCUCCUCCUGUCCUCUUCCUGUCCUCUUCCUGUCCUCUUCCUGUCCUCCUCCUGUCCUCUUCCUGUCCUCUUCCUGUCCUCUUCCUGUCCUCUUCCUGUCCUCCUCCUGUCCUCUUCCUGUCCUCCUCCUGUCCUCUUCCUGUCCUCUUCCUGUCCUCUUCCUGUCCUCCUCCUGUCCUCUUCCUGUCCUCCUCCUGUCCUCCUCCUCCAGCCCUUCUUCACCUCCUGAACUCCUUCUGUCAGCAUCAGUCCAUCCUUUCAGGUGAACCUGACUGUGUGUGUGUGUGUGUGUGUGUGUGUGUGUGUGUGUGUGUGCAGGUCAGUGCUGUGCUCACCUGCAGUGUGCAGCCUGGUCAGAGGGGGUGUGUCGAGGAGAAGGCCAAUCACUGCUCUACGUGGAUAAAGCCAUCGACUCAGGAAGCACGCAGGUCAGUUAGUGUAGAGUUUGAUUAGUAACUACACACAUACAGCUGUAUACUGCCUCACUAAGCCCCGC
ensembl:lncRNA